rnacentral:rRNA from 1 species
UGGCUCAGAGCGAACGCUGGCGGCAGGCCUAACACAUGCAAGUCGUGCGCCCCGCAAGGGGAGCGGCGGACGGGUGAGUAACGCGUGGGAAUGUGUCCUCGGGUGGGGGAUAACCCUGGGAAACUAGGGCUAAUACCGCAUGAUGUCUGCGGACCAAAGCCGCAAGGCGCCCGAGGAGCAGCCCGCGUCCGAUUAGCUAGUUGGUGGGGUAAUGGCCUACCAAGGCGACGAUCGGUAGCUGGUCUGAGAGGAUGAUCAGCCACACUGGGACUGAGACACGGCCCAGACUCCUACGGGAGGCAGCAGUGGGGAAUAUUGGACAAUGGGCGAAAGCCUGAUCCAGCCAUGCCGCGUGGGUGAAGAAGGCCCUAGGGUUGUAAAGCCCUUUCGGGCGGGGGACGAUGAUGACGGGUACCGCAGAAGAAGCCCCGGGCUAACUUCGUGCCAGCCGCCGCGGGUAAC